CCUACGGGAGGCAGCAGUGGGGAAUAUUGCACAAUGGGGGGAACCCUGAUGCAGCAAUGCCGCGUGGGUGAAGAAGCACUCCGGUGCGUAAAGCUCUAUCAGCAGGGAAGAAAAUGACGGUACCUGGACAAGAAGCCCCGGCUAACUACGUGCCCGCAGCCGCGGUAAUACGUAGGGGGCAAGCGUUAUCCGGAUUUACUGGGUGUAAAGGGAGCGCAGGCGGCGUGGCAAGUCAGAUGUGAAAACCCGGGGCGCAACCCCGGGAGUGCUUUUGAAACUGGUGUGCUGGAGUGCAGGAGAGGUAAGCGGAAUUCCUAGUGUAGCGGUGAAAUGCGUAGAUAUUAGGAGGAACACCAGUGGCGGAGGCGGCUUACUGGACGGUAAAUGACGCUGAGGCUCGAAAGCGUGGGGAGCAAACAGGAGUAGAUACCCGUGUAGUC
rnacentral:rRNA from 1 species